AGAGUUUUGCCCAAGCUGGCCUCUUCUCUUGCAUCAUUUUUCUGUGUUAGAAGACAACACUUUCUAUAUUUGCUUCAAGAUCAGCAAUGCAAAGAGCAAGAUUACACACAAUGAUAAAGAACAUACACAUUUAUCAUGAUGACUAUCUACUACAGAAUAUCAGAUCAAGAAAAUUAGGUGGAGGAGGCUUUUUAGUGAGAUACUGGUAGAAACAAAACUAAAAACAAGUUUGCCAAAACAGGAAGGUUUAACCUACUUGGAUGUGUUGUAAAAGAAAUAAAGUACAAAUUGGUCUAGAGAUUCUUAGAAAGCAUCAAUGACAGUUUUUGCAACUGAAGGCGAUACUACAAGGAAUGCUUUUAUUGUUUGUAGAGAGAAACUUACUGAGAAUGGGUGGGUAUAAAGCAAGCUGAAUGAAAUGAGAAAUAUCAGACAUUUAAAAAAGAAAGAAAAAAAACCCAGCAAAAUAAAAUCUGUGGAUUUUAAGCGGGCAGAUCAAAUGAUGAAUUUGUUAAAUGUGAGUCACUCACUGAUCUCACAUAGAAGAGGGAAGCACACAGAAAGCAGAAAUGAGGUCAGAUGGGAAUGCUUAAAAGAGUAACAUUGGAUUAAUCUCAGAAGGACACAGAUGUGAGUUGCAAGAAACAUUAAAGUUAUUAAAGCAAAAAAGAAGUCAUGCUGUAAGCACAUCAGCAGUAGGAAAAAACGUAGUUCAGUAGCUCAAUACUCUAUGGCAUUAUCAACAAAUGACAAUGUGCAGACUAAAGUUUUCAACACGUGCGCCUACCUUUACACAACAGCCAAUCAUGUUGGUGACUAUCACAAGUAUUAACAAGAAAAAGCUGAAAUCUCAGCCUAGAAUAGAAUAACAGGUCAGAAAGUUAGCUCACCAAGCUAGACCUUCUAAUCUGCCAGCUGGAUAACUGUUCACAGAAUCUCAGUACAAGUAAUGGUGUCUUAGAGGACUGAAAAAGAACAAAGUACUGAAAACCUGACAAUCAACAUAUAUUGUCUAGAAACUAACAGGAAAUGGCAAG
rnacentral:lncRNA from 1 species